rnacentral:sRNA from 1 species
GUCAAUCACCCAUACUCUAAAGAGUAAUGGGCUUGCAAAAGUCCAUAAUUGACUAGCCUAAGCCUUAACGGGCUACGUUAUGUAAGAAUAGCGGAAUGAUACUUAUCAACCGUAAAUAGUUACCGGUGAGUAUACAGCCUAACUCGCUGCUCUAAGGACUGUCGUUAAACCGAUCUGAGGGGUAGGAUCCGUGCGUCAGUCAAAGACUUCGUCUUAAAACCUUACAUAACAUUGGCGAAGGCUGCUUACAGUCUAUGUUAUUCCAUAAUGUAGACU